rnacentral:ncRNA from 4 species
UCCUGCUGCCCAAGUGCUUAUUA